CACGUAGGGGGCGAGCGUUGUCCGGAUUCAUUGGGCGUAAAGAGCUCGUAGGCGGCUCAGUAAGUCGGGUGUGAAACCCUCAGGCUCAACCUGGGGACGCCACUCGAUACUGCUGUGACUAGAGUGCGGUAGGGGAGCGGGGAAUUCCUGGUGUAGCGGUGAAAUGCGCAGAUAUCAGGAGGAACACCAGUGGCGAAGGCGCCGCUCUGGGCCGUGACUGACGCUGAGGAGCGAAAGCGUGGGUAGCAAACAGG
rnacentral:rRNA from 1 species